UGGAGUCUGCAACCCGACUCCAUGAAGCUGGAUUCGCUAGUAAUCGCGCAUCAGCCACGGCGCGGUGAAUACGUUCCCGGGGCCUUGUACACACCGCCCGUCAAGCCAUGGAAGCCGGGGGUGCCUGAAGUGCGCUGCCGCGAGGAGCGCCCUAGGGUAAAACCGGUGACUGGGGCUAAGUCGUAACAAGGUACC
rnacentral:rRNA from 1 species